rnacentral:tRNA from 2 species
GGAGAGAUGGCAGAGUGGCUAAUUGCGUCGGUCUUGAAAACCGUUGAGGUUUUUUCCUCCGGGGGUUCGAAUCCCUCUCUCUCCG